rnacentral:lncRNA from 1 species
AGCAUGAAGCAACCAGGUGCUCCGCAGGGCGCAGCUUUAUACGACCGCAGAGGUCGAACCCUGAACAGUUGGGCAAGUAAUGGACAAAACAUUCAAGCGUGAUACAGCUCUGAAUUUGGAUUGUGAUCAAAUUUUUGACAUUACAUGGUUUUUUUUACACAAAACAAAUGUCAAGAUUUUACAAAUCAAUUAAAGAUUUCUUCUUAUUUAAAUCUAAAAUUAAAUAGUUGACACAGCAUAGGUUUCUGACACAGAAUGAAUGUGGUCUAAUGAACUUAAAAGUUUUUUUUUGCCUUUGAGCAAUUCACUAUGCUGUUGAAUAUUAAUCCUCUCAAAAAAAUGUUUGAAGAAAUUUUCUUUUUAUUUAUGAAAUCUGAAAUGAGAAAAAUUUAACCCCCCCCCCUUUUUUCACAUCCCCGUUUCCCUUUUUCCAAAACUGAUAUCAAUUCAAAUUUCUAAUGGAGUUUGCAACAAUAACUACUCUUUUAAAUACAUCAAUAAAAUAUUAAAAUGUAAAAUAAAGUGCUUGUUAUCACUGAAUGGUAAAGAUUGGUUGGUAGUAAAAGUGAAUAUACAUUGUUUAUUGUAUAAAACAAUAAAAAAAAC